GCCGGAAUAGCUCAGUUGGGAGAGCGUAGGACUGAAAUCGUUUACAAAACAAUCAUCUAAAGAUCCCCUGUUCAAUCCCGUGUUCCGGCA
rnacentral:tRNA from 1 species